CUGUGGUUUCAGAAAAAGUGGGUACAGGGGCUGAGGGGUAUGAGAAAAACCAUGAGACCUGGAGGACCAAAGGCCUGGAGAAAUGGAAAUUUGGGAUAAAGGAAUCAGAAGUAAGAAAUGGGGGAGAGUAGGUGAUUAAGACUGUAGGUAAAUUACUUAACCUAUUCAUAUUUUGCUU